UCCACUGAUUAAUUUUUUAAAUCAUAAAAUCAACUCUUUAAUAAAAAUCAAGUUUAUCCUUUGCAAAAUCUUACACGGUCAUCCCCCCAAGUCAUGGGCUGAGGGAGUAGCCUCGUUUUCUAAUACCAGUUUUCCAUAAGCUCAUUUAUUAUAUGCCCUUAGUGUAGAGCUGACAUCUUUUGACAUCUGUAAGUACAUGAGUUUUUCCUUUCUGACCAUGAUUUUUUUUUAAUCUUCGCUUGUUUUUAUACCUGUUUGUAUGACUUAUUUAGGAUGUAUGAUAUGCUUAAAAUGUCAUUUUGCUUGCUCUAAGAAAUUUGAACACCAUCUUAAAGGCUACCUAUUCUCUGAAGGACACUGAAGAACUGCCACAUAAACUGGAGCUGAACUCCAUUCUCUGUGCAAAUUGAUGGUAAAGCCUUCUUCACAUUGAAAUGUCAGCAGUGACAAGUCUGCAUAUAUCCUAUUAUCCAGCAAAUACUUAGGCCUGUGCUUGGCUUGUGGCUUCAGAAACCUGUAGCACAUUCUCUUCAUCAAAGAGAAGGCAUUAGCAGGCACCAUUACAAUUCCCUUGAAUCUGGUUUAACCUUAGAGAAGGAUCAGGAUUGAUUUCCUGCUGGGUGGUAAGAUGGGGACUUACCUGAUUUAAUUUAAAAGAAUAAAUAAUUGGACAUUUCUUCCAUACUCAAAUACUACACUGUACUGCUUGUUCUAGAAGGCUCUACAGACUCAGAGCAAAAGCUACACUUUAGGACCCCACCAUUUCUUCCCAGGACUGUACAGCAAUCUUCUGUAGCUGAUGUAUUCAUCUGUACAGUCCUUUCUUUGCCCCCCACCUGACCAUAAUCUGCACAGCAUGCUCAGUGAUCCUGUUAGAGUGCAAAUCUGAUGUACAGCAGUUCCUCAAUUUAGGCACACCAACAGCCAGCAGGCCAAAUCUGCCUGGCAACUUUUUUUUGGCCUAAUUUCAAUGCCUUUAAGCAGGUAAGUACCACAAGCCCUACCACUAACUACUGUAUGUAUUGAUUACAUUCAUUCAGAUUCACACUUUCUACCUGCCCGGCCCCUCCCUAUAAGAUGUGAAUUGGUCAACUCCUGCCCUACAGUCCCAAUAUUGCAGCUGGCAUGAUCUUUCCAAAAUGAAGAUGAGGCCAUAUUUCUGCCUUGCUAUGCUUAAAAAAUAUAGCCAUUAAUGGGUUACUCUUUGUCUAGAUGUUUUCAUUCAGGAAAUAUUUACGGUGUACCCACAGUGUGGCCGGCACUGUUGUUUCUAGGUGCCAGGCAUACUGCAGUGAACAGAACAGACCAACAUCUGUGCCUUCAUAAAGCUUAAAUUUCAUCAAAAGAGACAAGUGCUAUAGAGAUAAUGCACAGGAGAGGAAUAGGGACAAUGGUGGGGUGCAAUUUCAGAUAGGCUGGCCAGGGAAGGCCCACAGAGGAGGGCAUCUGCUGUAAAGACAUUAAAGGGGGAUGCACCCCAGACAGAAGCAGAUACAGUGGCCCUGGAAUGCUAGAGGGCUGUCCCCUCCAGUAUCUCCUCAGUCGAAUACUAGUUGUUCCAGGAAUCAGCUCAAAUGUCUUUUCUCCAAGGAACUUAUUCCUACCAUUCUCGGGAUGAUAUUCCUCUUCGACAUAUCUCAGAUAGUUUCAUGAAUCUGUCAUCAUUUGUAGAUAUUGUCCUCAAAACUAUUCACUGGAAAAAACUGCCUGAAGGAUAAGCACACAUGAUGAGGCAUUCCUGAUGAGAUUCUCCUUUGGCAUUCUAAUCUAGGGAUGUUAUCUAGAAUUCUUUGGGAAGAAAAGAUUUUGGAAUUAAAGUCCACAUUUUAUCAGCUGAAGGAAGUUGGACAAAUUCCUUAGCUUUGUCUAAACCGCUAUUUGUGCAAUAGUAAAGUGUCGGAAUAUUCAAAGAUAUGGUGAAGGCCUAACUCCAUGAAAGAACACAGUAGACCCUCAGUAAAUAAUUGCGUUUCAUGCAAACUGCUUCCCAUCAUCUCCACCAUCCUCCAACGGCUGCUACUCCCACAAGAGCGCCCCAUCAGUACGGCUGGAAAGGCCCAUCUGCUUUGCCUUUGCAGAUUUAACCAGCUACCAGCUCAAUCCAUGGUGUACAAACUCAGAAUGAAGAAUGGCAUUCAACAGGCAUAUUGUGAUGAUGAGCUUGGUACCACUAAGGUUAUUACAAACAGACACGGUGUAACAAGAACCUACUAUGGUGGUUAAGAGCAAAGGUCUUUUGAGCCUGGCUGAUUGGGAUUUGAAUGUGGGUUUCAUAACCACACUGGACAAUUUACCUUACUCCGCUCCAUCUGUUAAAUAUGGUUUUGCCAGGUCUCUGCUACAGGCUGGCUGCCAGCCCCAGUGAGCUCGGUCUAGCUUGAUGGAUGGGUGAACAAUUGAUGUGAUGAGAGCUGUAGGGAAGUCCAGGGCAUAGCCAGUAACUGCUCACCUGCUAUGGACAUACGAAGGCACCAGCUCUGUGCUUUGCUCCUCUCAGCAGUGCCUCUUGUGAAGUGGUCCCCAGUUAUGACAGCCCUGUGCAUGGAAGCCAAGGUGAGACAAGAAACUAGCAAAAGGCUGAAUCAAAGAGCAUUUAUCUCACAAAUUAGAAAGUCAAAUUCUAAGAGGAUUUUUAAAACUUGAUUAAA